rnacentral:tRNA from 1 species
UGGAUUUUAGUUUAAGUUGAAAAUGUUAAAUUGUUGAUUUAGAGUUUUUUGUUCCAG